GAGUUUGAUCUUGGCUCAGAUUGAACGCUGGCGGCAGGCCUAACACAUGCAAGUCGAGCGGUAGAGAGAAGCUUGCUUCUCUUGAGAGCGGCGGACGGGUGAGUAAUGCCUAGGAAUCUGCCUGGUAGUGGGGGAUAACGCUCGGAAACGGACGCUAAUACCGCAUACGUCCUACGGGAGAAAGCAGGGGACCUUCGGGCCUUGCGCUAUCAGAUGAGCCUAGGUCGGAUUAGCUAGUUGGUGAGGUAAUGGCUCACCAAGGCGACGAUCCGUAACUGGUCUGAGAGGAUGAUCAGUCACACUGGAACUGAGACACGGUCCAGACUCCUACGGAGGCAGCAGUGGGGAAUAUUGGACAAUGGGCGAAAGCCUGAUCCAGCCAUGCCGCGUGUGUGAAGAAGGUCUUCGGAUUGUAAAGCACUUAAGUUGGGAGAAGGGCAGUAAAUUAAUACUUUGCUGUUUGACGUUACCGACAGAAUAAGCACCGGCUAACUCUGUGCCAGCA
rnacentral:rRNA from 1 species